CGACCUUUCCAAAGCUAUCUUAUAUAACACGCUAUUCUCAUUCACGCUGUUGACUUUAUUACUCCGCGUCCUCCUCACUCAGUUAUGUGCUGUACUUAACACGAAAACGAUUUAUUUACCUGAUCAUGUAGUUAAUGACGCCACAGAAUGGUAUGCCAGGCAGCUCAUACUGUGACUACAUUAACAUUUACAUCUCUUAGUCACUGGUACACAGCGGAGCGUUCAUGCGCCGCUCGGGCCUGCCAGCGGAGAGCCAGGCGGCGUCGGGAGGGCCCAGCGCGCAUGUCCACCCAGACGCAACUUCCGGAUUCCAUUCAAGUCAGUCCAGCAGUCGCCCCACCGCCGCCUCACAUCUGCUCUCCCCGCCCCAAGCAACCACGUCCCCGGGAACUACCAUGGACUCUCCGAUCUCUGACGAAGGUGUCGUAGUGAGUGGUUCCCGCAGCACCAAGGUCUGUCAUGUAGGGUAGUGGUGGGGGGCACAGCUGUGUAGCGAGAGGGUCCCACCACCGCCACACAGGCCGUAGCGUAGGGUAGAGAUGGGGUGCGGCGCCUCUCGGACGGUUCAAGCCAUCGACGACGGGCAAGACAAGUCCCCGGAGUCCCCCGAGCAACCGCAGCAGCCCGAAGAGCUCACUAGCAUACGGUCCAACAGCCCAGACCUCGCCUCCAAGCCCGUCGAGGCACCCACCACGGCGCCGGUCAUCCGGCAGAACGGUACGGAGCUCUCAGCGCCCGCCCUUGAGGACCAGCUACCAGAGUCAACGUUGCAGCACGCAUCCGCCCACUCAGGUGGGCGCGCCGUGGCCUUCGAAGUCCGGCCCCCAGACGCCAACAACGAGUCUCUGAUCCGCCGCCACCCGCCGCGCAAGUUCCAGAAGCUCGAGGACCAGCAGCAGAACAGCAUCAUCACGCAGGAGCAGCUGGAGGAGAAGCAGGCCAUCGCAGAAAAGCGCCGGCAGGAGAUCCUGUCGCAGCGGGUGCAGAGCGCCAAGCACCGCACCGCCGCCGCUCGCCUGCGUGGCACAGACGACGGCGACGAGGUGGAGAAGUUCAUGAGGACGGAGGAGCUGGACUGGAUGAGUCUGGUCAACACGUCCCUGCUGCCGCCCGUCCAGAUCUCCACGGCCUCGACGCGCCCUCCUCUUCUUCCACCACCAGCACCGCCACAGCCUUCGUAACACAAGCACCACCACCAGCCUCCUCUUCCUCCUCCACCAGUCUUCGUAGCACCAGCACCAGCACCAGCACCAGCCUCCUCCUCCCUCGUGUGUGUUCUUCACGUGAUGACGGGGUCAUCGAGAGCGCCGCCUCCGUUUCCUCGGAGAACGAGCUGUAAGGGGCCGGCGCGCCUCGCGCCCGCCACGACCCGCCACACGGACCACCACACCCCGGCCGUGGCCGCCCUGCUCCCGCCACCCCCAGGCACUCCCGUACCAUGCUGCUUUGCUUUCAGAGAGUCACGUUUUGAUACAACCACGUCAGCGGCGUAGCUGCGGGGGGGUGGGGGGGGGGCUGAGGGGGUCUCGGCCCCCACAGAAAAGUUGGACACUCAUGAAGUCCUGAGAAAGAACAAGUAAUGCAAUCUGGCAAAUUGGACAACAAGGAUGGCUAUUUGCCCCCAUCAGAUAACAGGCCCCCCUUGGGCCCCCUCAUGUGCUGAGCCCAUGCCUCGUGCUGAGCGCUGCUGCGCCGCUGAGCACUGUGAUGAUUGUUCCUGCCCGAAGGCGGGCAGAGGUUGAAAUUCUUCAGUUAAAGGACAGUUGCACACAAUUCUGGGUUGUACGUCAUUCUAACUUGUCAAUUUGAUGACAAAGUCAGAUCCUUAAUUGAAUAUACUCUUGAAAAUACGUAUGUAUGGUUUAGUGAUAUUUACAGAUAAGAUGCAUGAAGGAACGUCUACUGACAAUCAGCAAGACUUAGUUUUUUACAAGACUUGGUAUCAGUGACAGUCACACGCAUAUAACUCGUGUGUCACCGCAGUGUGGUGAUAUCAAUGUUGUUCGUAGCAAUUGCACAAACGAGUCCACCGGAUAGAAAAUAAUAAAUACAAGCAUGAUGCUUUUGAAAUAAGUUCAAAGAAUUGCCAUGGUUUGCCUUUGAUUGUAUACUCGGUCACAAUAAGUUAUACACAAAUAAAACAGACUUUGAAAAUUACUGACACUGUAUUUAUUUUGGCCACUUGCAUUGCACCUUUGUUCAUGACCUGCAGACUUAACGGUGAUGGAUUAUCUUAUGGUUGAGCAGAUUCUUUGUGUUCUUCUUUUCAUUAUCAUCGCAUACAUUAAGGUGUUAAGGUGUAACUGUGUUUGAUGUUAACACCAAUUCAUACCUAUACUUAGCCACGCCAAGGAUAACACUAUUCUUGCUUAUUACGUAGCUACUUUUGUUACCAAUAUUUCUGAAUCUCUUGGUGUUUUGCCUGUCUUUGGGAAGUUAUUGCUCUUUCUCCUAUGUAAGCUUUGCAGUUACAUGAUUUAUUCAAAAUAUGUAAAUGUUCUACAAUAACCUCCAUGUCUUUCCCAAAACUGGUAUUUCAAAGGCCUUACAGAAAGUAUUGGUCAGACCAUGUUAAUGAGUCUCAGGCAGGUGGAUCAAGGCAAACUGAAUAGAUUAUCAGGUCAGGGUCAGGGUGACUUACUAUACAACCUAUCCAUAAUGUGUUUCAGUGAGCAAAUAUACUUCAAAAUAUAAAUUGUGUUAUGGGAAUAAUAAUUUUGUAUUCGUUUACACUAUGUUUAUGCACAGGCCUAUAUUAUGUAAUGCAGCUCAAACAUUAAAAACCUUGAAUUCAA